rnacentral:tRNA from 1 species
UAGGUAGACCAAAAAUGGCAUGUCAGGCUUCUAACUUGACUGAGGGCGGUUAAAACGUCCCUAUCUAU